AAUAAAUAUAUCAAUUAAUCAUUAAAAGCAGCAGCAGAAAAAGCCAAAGACAGAGAAGUGGAAAAGAAAAAAACAAAUAUAAAAUGCUAUAUUGAUGCAUCUAUAAUUAUAAUACAGUAAUAUAUGUUAUUCUGACAUGGGCAAUUCUGUAUAAUGAGUACUUUUACUUUUUGUUCUUAAUACGUAUGUACUUUUACCUAAGUAAAAGUACAUAAUGCAAGAUUUUGAAUGUAAGAUUUUACUUGUUUACUUGUAUUUUUACACUGUCGUAUUGCUAUUGGAUUAAAGUAAUAUAAAAUAUAUUCAAAAAAGAUAACAUAAAAAACAGCAGCAGAAAAAGUGGAAAAGAAAAAAAAUAUAUAUAAAAUGCUUCAUCUGAUUUUUCCUGCAUUUCCAGCAGCACCUGAAGGCAGCAGUCAUGUGUGUUUACGUCGCAUCAUACUCGAGAAGGAUUCUGGGUACAGCAUGGGGUGAGUUGCGUAAGGUUACCAAAGGCAACAGCAGACAAUGCAUGCUGUUUCAGCCCCGCACCGAGGCUCAAACAAAGCCGGUACCGCUGCGUCCUCCUCGGUCUGAUGCAGCGGAUCACCAGCCUCGCUGCAGGCCGGCAGCUCGGCGGCCUCUCGGCGUGCUCUGCCGGGCUCUGCGCCUGGAAGAGCGGCUCGACCUGCAGAGAGCAUCCGGCCGUGCACCGGCAGAGGGCGGGGGUGUGCGUCCGUCCUGUGCGUCCUCUCACCGGAGGACCAGGCCGGAGGCUGAGCAGGCAAAGGGUCGUGUUCGCCAGCCAGAAGCACAGACUGUUCAGCUCACAGCCCGGAGGAGACGAGCCUCCGCCGGGGAGCUCCGGAGGUCAGCCCGCUGUGUCGGUGGUCGGCAUCCCGGAUCCGAUCACAUGGAUCCGGUGCAGAGUGAUCAUGUAUCUCACCAAUCUGUACUUUGAGUUAGACAUCAACUCUGUGGAGUUUGAGAGAGGAGUGAAGCAGGCUUUGGUCCACGUCUCCAACAUGAUGUCCAUUGGCAGAUACCAAAGUCUAAAGGGGAUCGUGUCCAAUGAGAUGAUAGAUUAUGUUCAGACGAGGUGCGGGUCUCUCACCGAGGCUCAGAGACAGCAGCUCGCUGUCACAAUGGAAGAUAUUAUAUUUAUGCUGCCGGAAGACGUGUCUGUCGUCUUUGAUAAAUUUGGUAGAAAGUUCUGCUUCGUCGUCAUGAGGUUUUAUCUCCUGUCGACAUAUGAUGGCCCCGAUGACCCCGAGGGCAUAAAGAUCUUCAAAGUGGCCUCUAGUGAAGAUGGCGGCCCACAGAAGAAAAUAGUGACAGCAGUCUACGAGUCUUGAAAUCCCCUCUGAGAAAGCCUGUUACACUUCAAAUGUUAUCCCAAACGCUAGCACACAGGCAGUUUGGCAGGAUAAGGAAGCUAUUUUCAGAAUCCUCACCUCGUUGUUUUCAAGAUUCCACCGAGAGCUGACGAGUGGAGCCUCUCCUGACUGGACGGUCGAGACUGUUUGGCACUGGCACUGGAAACAGGCUGAGUGAUUGGACUCGACGCGGCAAAGCCAUUUGUCAGUCAUCAGGACACAGCAGGGGAGUAAUGAUUGGCUGAAUUUACCUAUCCAUAAAAGACAACUUUAAACUGAACAUCUGCGAGCAGCAGAUUGAAGAACUGUCUAUUAUGAUCACAUGAAACGGGACCCAGAGCCAUAAGACCGAAGCUAUGCAGACACCUGAAGACCUCCGGACUUUAUAAAUGAGCCCACCUCACUACUUGAAGGUCGUCCUCAGACCCUCAGAUGCUUUUAAAGUCCCCCUCCAGUGAUUUUACACAUUAAGAAACAUUUGUGAGGAGACUGUUCUAUGAGGUCAUAGUCCUCUACCUGCUGUACAACUCCUCUGAAUCACCUGUAGAACAGUUUUAGCUUUGAUACAGUAUAUAAACAGAGUGAUGAGGUCACUGGAGGAAGACUUUUAAAGUGUCUCUUGCUAAAAAAAAAAAAAAAGCUGUUGAGUACGUUACCAAAAGAAAUAAAAACCUCACUCCAGGUCCAUGUAUUAGCUUUCAAUCACACUGCUCGGUCUUCCUCCACAAAUGGGGUUUGCUCCGUUGUCAUGGUGAUGGCUCUGUUGUCACCAUGUGACCUAAAGUAAGCAUGGAACUAUGGUCCUGGCUAAUGGUGCCUUCAAAGGGGGUCGUGUUUACUGUGUUUAUGAGAAGAGUCCAUAUGAACUCUUGUGGUGUUCACGACCUCCUAAGUGGAAAGUUUCUGAAAGCUCAGAGUUCACAAGAUGUGAUGUGUUUUUUGACGUUCUAAUUGAAAAUAUAUAUAUAUUACACCCAGCAAAGUGAAAUCUUAUACUUAAGGUUAAAUUGAAUCGUUAUUGAUGUUACAGAGCUGUCCGUCAACGUCUGUUAUAAACGUUGUCGUCACUAACGUUGUCGUCACUAACGUUGUCGUCACUAACGCAUUGCAUUGUGGGAUAUUUAUGCCGCCGUAUCCAGUGUUGCAUACUAAGAUUUCAGACAUAAUAAAAAAUCUCACAUACUGUUUUAGCGUACUAAAUAGCAUGUUAGAAUGGAAUUUCGUAUACAACCUAGUCACAUGAUGACAACUGAACCAUCACCAUGACAACUGAGAAAACUAUCACUGAGGAAGACCAUGAAAUGCAGCUGAAAGUGGACCUUCAUUUUUUUUUGUCAAACCAAUAUCUAAGGUCAAGAAUGAACUCUGUUGAGUUUGUUAAACCAAUAUGUUGUAUCAAUAAAUUACUUGAUUGACUUGAACACCAAA